GACGAACGCUGGCGGCGUGCCUAAUACAUGCAAGUUGAGCGAUGAAGCUUGGUGCUUGCACCAAUUUGAAGAGCAGCGAACGGGUGAGUAACGCGUGGGGAAUCUGCCUUUGAGCGGGGGACAACAUUUGGAAACGAAUGCUAAUACCGCAUAACAACUUUAAACAUAAGUUUUAAGUUUGAAAGAUGCAAUUGCAUCACUCAAAGAUGAUCCCGCGUUGUAUUAGCUAGUUGGUGAGGUAAAGGCUCACCAAGGCGAUGAUACAUAGCCGACCUGAGAGGGUGAUCGGCCACAUUGGGAACGAGACACGGCCCAAACUCCUACGGGAGGCAGCAGUAGGGAAUCUUCGGCAAUGGACGAAAGUCUGACCGAGCCACGCCGCGGGAGGGAAGAAGGUUUUCGGAUCGUAAAACUCUGUUGGUAGAGAAGAACGUUGGUGAGAGUGGAAAGCUCAUCAAGUGACGGUAACUACCCAGAAAGGGACGGCUAACUACGUG
rnacentral:rRNA from 1 species